rnacentral:rRNA from 1 species
GAUGAACGCUGGCGGCGUGCCUAAUACAUGCAAGUCGAGCGAACAGACGAGGAGCUUGCUCCUCUGACGUUAGCGGCGGACGGGUGAGUAACACGUGGAUAACCUACCUAUAAGACUGGGAUAACUUCGGGAAACCGGAGCUAAUACCGGAUAAUAUAUUGAACCGCAUGGUUCAAUAGUGAAAGACGGUUUUGCUGUCACUUAUAGAUGGAUCCGCGCCGCAUUAGCUAGUUGGUAAGGUAACGGCUUACCAAGGCAACGAUGCGUAGCCGACCUGAGAGGGUGAUCGGCAACAUUGGAACUGAGACACGGUCCAGACUCCUACGGAGGGCAGCAGUAGGAAAUCUUCCGCAAUGGGCGAAAGCCUGACGAAGCAACGCGGCGUGAGUGAGGAAGGCCUUCGGAUGGUAAAUCUCUGUUAUUGGGGAAGAACAAAUGUGUAAGUAACUAUGCACGUCUGGACGGUACCUAAUCAGAAAGCCACGGCAAACUACGU